UACGUAGGUGGCAAGCGUUGUCCGGAUUUACUGGGCGUAAAGAGCGCGCAGGCGGUCGUUCAAGUCGCGUGUGAAAGCCCCCGGCUCAACUGGGGAGGGUCACGCGAUACUGAUCGACUGGAAGGCAGGAGAGGGUAGUGGAAUUCCCGGUGUAGCGGUGAAAUGCGCAGAUAUCGGGAAGAACACCCGUGGCGAAGGCGGCUCUCUGGGACGGUACUGACGCUGAGACGCGAAAGCGUGGGGAGCGAACAGG
rnacentral:rRNA from 1 species